rnacentral:tmRNA from 1 species
GGGGGUGCACUGGCUUCGACGGGGGUCACAAAAUCACUUGGUGCAUGCCGAGGGGGCCGCUUUCCUCGUAAAUNNAUCCAGCAGCAAACUUAUAGUUGCCAACGAAGACAACUUCGCUGUAGCCGCUUAAGGCUUAAGCCUCGAAACUGCUUGUGUCCGUGCUCGCAGCGUAGAGUCAUCAUCACGGAACCGCUGAGACGUGGCCGUCUGCCCAUCCUCGGUUAAAUCUAGCAGACUGGUUUCCGGGUGCGCUUUGCCUGUCGUGCUGCCCGGCGACGAGACCUAACGGCGAGGAUAAGCAUGUAGGGCCGGGGAUGGAGUACUUUCGGACGGCGGUUCGAUUCCGCCCACCUCCACCA